GGACCGUUUUGCACACAAGUGGUUAAAACCCGUUUAGGCGAUAUUCCCCUUUUCAGAUGCACAGACAGCUACUGCAAUCACCAAUCUCCCGAACUGCAAACACAUGAAUUCACCAAUCUCCCGAACUGGAACCAGGGGAAUGCUCCAAACUCCCAAACAGGAAAAACCAUACGAACAGUUUACACUCCUGGCAGUCGCACUGUAACAGCAUACAAUCCAAUUCCCCCAAGAACGAGACGACAC